AAGUAAUUAGUUCAAUUGGUAGAGCGUCUCGCUUACAACGAGAAUGUUAAUGGUUCGAGUCCGUUAUUACUUA
rnacentral:tRNA from 1 species